CGGKAUAGUUCCCUUCGGGGAGCGAGUNCAGCGGCGCACGGGUGAGUAACACGUAGGUAACCUGCCCUGGGGAUCGGGAUNACCUGUCGAAAGACGGGCUAACACCGGAUAAGACCACGGGAGCCUCGGCUCCUGAGGUAAAAGAUGGCCUAUGCUUGCAAGCUAUUACCCCGGGAUGGGCCUGCGCACCGUUAGCUAGUUGGUGAGGUAACGGCUCACCAAGGCGAAGAUGGUUAGCUGGCCUGAGAGGAUGAUCAGCCACACUGGGACUGAGACACGGCCCAGACUCCUACGGGAGGCAGCAGUGGGGGAUAUUGCGCAAUGGGCGG
rnacentral:rRNA from 1 species